CAUUCUAGAAGGGGUUCCUCUGAAUGGCUUUCAUAGCUAGUUUGAGAAAUAAAUACCAACUAGUCAAAUUCCAGCUUGUUCAAUUCACUAGUGGGCAUGUUUAUGGCUUCACAUGGUAUGUCUGGAUACUUCGUCCAAACUAAAUGGUAUUUACUAUGCUUUGUAAUUUCAGUUUCCAAGAUAGAAGGUAUGAAUACAAAGGUCUUAAUAAGGUUUGGAUGGGGAAAUUAGCAGAGGCAAAGGCUAGUGGGAAUUUUAUAAGGAUUCAUUAAGCACAUGUUUUUCAUGUCAAUUUGCUGAUGUGCAUGUAAUGUUGCCAUGAUAUGACUGUAUGGCAUGCCAUCUUCUUUCUCGGGAUUGUUGCUAAGAUGCCAAUGUGGCAUAGGUAUGUGGUCUAGGCCAUUCAUCAGGUACCGCCCUUCAAAAUGUUUGCUUGGAAUUUCGUGUUAUACCAGUAAUGGGUUCAUUCGUCUCAUUAACUUCUCUAACAGUGUGCAUGUUAGUUUGGACUAAUUAGCAUUUUCAUAUUACAGAAUUGCUUCGUGCCCUCUGCUUUUUAUGGAUGCCAGUGGCUUGUAUUCUUUGAACAUCUCUUCACAGUGAAGAAUCCCUGCCCCAACCUGCAUGCUCAAUGUAGGUUUGGCUUAUCUGGAGCUAGGAGUGGUAGUUCUGACCACUAUACAUAAAGCAGUUGUCCCAUUGCAGCGUCCAAGUGCAAUGUCCAAGCUAUUCCUUAGAUAAGCCCUUUGUUGGUGCAUCUGUUGGUUACUUCCCAUUCCUUUGACUGUAAGUCAUAUCUUAUUUCCUAAACUGCAUUUUGAAUCUCCCAUUAGGUUCUGUUUAGUGCUAAAUUCUCACUAUUGGGUCAUGUCAACUUCUAGAUGUUUUUCUUCAACUUCAUUUUAUGACAUGACAAAUUACUCCUUUUCUCAAUUCCUUUCAUCUCUCAUUGUCGU